rnacentral:rRNA from 1 species
GUAGUUAGCCGGAGCUUCCUCCCGGGAUACCGUCUUCCCCUCUUCUCCCGGGACAGAGGUUUACAAUCCGAAAACCUUCUUCCCUCACGCGGCGUUGCUGGGUCAGGGUUUCCCCCAUUGCCCAAUAUUCCCCACUGCUGCCUCCCGUAGGAGUCUGGACCGUGUCUCAGUUCCAGUGUGGCCGAUCACCCUCUCAGGUCGGCUACCCAUCGCAGGCUUGGUGGGCCGUUACCUCACCAACUACCUAAUGGGACGCGAGCUCACCUUAUACCGAAUUGCUCCUUUGACCCCUGUGCCAUGCGGCACUGUGGUCUUAUGCGGUAUUAGCACACCUUUCGGUGCGUUAUUCCCCAGUAUAAGACAGAUUGCUCACGCGUUACUCACCCGUCCGCCGCUGAAAUCAGUUCGUGCAAGCACUCCCUGUUCCCCGCUCGACUUGCAUGUGUUAGGCACGCCGCCACGCGUCGUCCUCGAGCACUAAUACAACUACUGA